rnacentral:rRNA from 1 species
UACGUAGGGGGCAAGCGUUGUCCGGAUUUAUUGGGCGUAAAGAGCGUGUAGGCGGCCAGGUAGGUCCGUUGUGAAAACUCGAGGCUCAACCUCGAGACGUCGAUGGAAACCAUCUGGCUAGAGUCCGGAAGAGGAGAGUGAAGAUUCCUGGUGUAGCGGUGAAAUGCGCAGAUAUCAGGAGGAACACCGGUGGCGAAGGCGGGUCUCUGGGCCGAUAUUGACGCUGAGGAGCGAAAGCGUGGGGAGCGAACAGG